rfam:Populus trichocarpa scaffold_8_contig_233, whole genome shotgun sequence.
AUUUGAUGAUGAGGACAUUGAUUGCACAACUGCUCAAAUCUUUCCCAAUACUCGGAGAGUGUUUCCCCAUGAGAUUGUCGAAUUCCACAUAUUUCUUUCCUUAUAUU